rnacentral:rRNA from 1 species
UAGACACCAAGACAGAUCAUGUUAAACACCCCUUAACAAAGGCCCGAACUUAAUGACCCCCUGUCCUAAUGUCUUCGGUUGGGGCGACCAUGGGGCAGCACAAAACCCCCAUGCGGACUGGGAGAACAAACCCAAAACCCUUUUUCCCACACUCCCACAAGCAAGAGUUACAACUCUAACUAGCAGAACCUCUGACCUCUUACGAUCCGGCUUCCGCCGAUCAACGGACCAAGUUACCCUAGGGAUAACAGCGCAAUCCCCUUUUAGAGCCCAUAUCGACAAGGGGGUUUACGACCUCGAUGUUGGAUCAGGACAUCCUAAUGGUGCAGCCGCUAUUAAG